UACUGUUUGGAUAGGUGAAAGUUGAGCAC
rnacentral:piRNA from 1 species